UACGGAGGGUGCAAGCGUUAUCCGGAAUCACUGGGUUUAAAGGGUGCGUAGGCGGAAAAUUAAGUCAGUGGUGAAAGCCUGUCGCUUAACGAUAGAACUGCCAUUGAUACUGAUUUUCUUGAAUUGGGUUGAGGUUAGCGGAAUGUGACAUGUAGCGGUGAAAUGCAUAGAUAUGUCAUGGAACACCAAUUGCGAAGGCAGCUAGCUGGGCCUUGAUUGACGCUGAGGCACGAAAGCGUGGGUAGCGAACAGG
rnacentral:rRNA from 1 species